AAACUUCCCAGCAUUUCUUCAAGACUCGUGUCUUACAGUCCAUUGCUCCCAGUUUAGAGAAAUGUAAUUCUGUACUUAGUUUUUGAGUUGUUGAUGCUAGACUUAAUGAAAGCUAAAAUCCAAGUAGUAUACUUAACCAGUUAGUGUUGGUUGUAAGCUCUAGGUACAAAAGUAUAGUUCUUAAACAUCCAGGUGUUUCUGUCCCAACAUCUGACAAGUUAUUUAUAAUACGGUGGUAGUUCACCACUUUAUAUGAUUAUGUGCAAGAGUGAAAAUAGUUGUUUACCAGGUUGUCCUCCACCUGUAACUAAGAAAAAGAAC
rnacentral:lncRNA from 1 species